GACCGCGUAUAGCUCAGUUGGCAGAGCAUUGGGCUAGUAUUCCAAAGGUGUAGGUUCGAUUCCCACCGUGGACA